rnacentral:tRNA from 1 species
GCUCACUUGGUGGAAGGGUAGACACGGCAGAUUUAAAAUCUGCUUCCUGCAAAAGGAGUAUCGGUUCAAAUCCGUUAGUGAGUA